GGGAAAGAGGCUAGAGUGCCAGAGGAGAGAGCUGGGACUCAAGGAGAAAGAUGGCUUGGAGGAUUUUCCAGGCACAAUCAUAAUUCUUAGGCCCUAGUGGGGCCACUUCAAACCUCAAUGGAAGACCAGGUGCUCAGGACACAUUGAAUCUAGUGAGGAAGAAAGUACAUGCACAUAAAAGGACCACCUACAAUCCUUUGAACAAUCAAGGACAGAUAGAUGGAUGAAUAGAAAUGAAGAUAAAAAUAAAAAUGAUGAAGCAUGA